GGACGCCUACGGGAGGCAGCAGUCGAGAAUCAUUCACAAUGGGGGAAACCCUGAUGGUGCGACGCCGCGUGGGGGAAUGAAGGUCUUCGGAUUGUAAACCCCUGUCAUGUGGGAGAAAAUUAAAAAGAUAGUACCACAAGAGGAAGAGACGGCUAACUCUGUGCCAGCAGCCGCGGUAAUACAGAGGUCUCAAGCGUUGUUCGGACUCACUGGGCGUAAAGCGUGCGUAGGCUGUUUCGUAAGUCGUGUGUGAAAGGCGCGGGAUCAACCCGCGGACGGCACAUGAUAC
rnacentral:rRNA from 1 species